rnacentral:rRNA from 1 species
AGCAGGCGCGAAAACUUUACAAUGCUGGCAACAGCGAUAAGGGGACCUUGAGUGCCAGGAUACAAUCCUGGCUGUCGUGAUGCCUAAAAAGCAUUAUAUAGCAAGGGCCGGGCAAGACCGGUGCCAGCCGCCGCGGUAACACCGGCGGCUCGAGUGGUAACCGCUAUUAUUGGGUCUAAAGGGUCUGUAGCCGGCUUGGUUAGCCUCUUGGGAAAUCCGGCAGCUUAACUGUCGGGCUUUCAGGAGAUACUGCCAGGCUCGAGACCGGGAGAGGUGAGAGGUACUUCAUGGGUAGGGGUGAAAUCUUGUAAUCCUUGAAGGACCACCAGUGGCGAAGGCGUCUCACCAGAACGGAUCUGACGGCAAGGGACGAAAGCUAGGGGCACGAACCGGAUUAGAUACCCGGGUAGUCCUAGCCGUAAACGAUACUCGCUAGGUGUCGGCCACGGUGCGACCGUGGUCGGUGCCGUAGGGAAGCCGUGAAGCGAGCCACCUGGGAAGUACGGCCGCAAGGCUGAAACUUAAAGGAAUUGGCGGGGGAGCAC